UACGUAGGCAGCGAGCGUUGUUCGGAGUUACUGGGCGUAAAGAGUGCGUAGGCGGUUUUCUAAGUUUGGUGUGAAAUCUCCCGGCUUAACUGGGAGGGUGCGCCGAAAACUGGAAGGCUUGAGUAUGGGAGAGGUAAGCGGAAUUCCUGGUGUAGCGGUGAAAUGCGCAGAUAUCAGGAGGAACACCAGAGGCGAAGGCGGCGAACUGGACAGUAACUGACACUUAACUGCGAAAGCGUGGGGAGCAAACAGG
rnacentral:rRNA from 1 species